rnacentral:lncRNA from 1 species
GCAGACGCGCAUUAGCAAUGUGUUCCUGGGACCAUCUACAUCUAUCUAUAUCAAUUGCCAUUACUUCCAUGGGCCAAGGCUGGUUGGCAUGCAUGAGCUGGAUCAAGAAAGGAUACCUUUCCUACUUUUCCUAAAAUUAAUUUUGUAUAGGAUAAUGCUCAUUACGGUAAUCAAAUAGAACUCCAUACUGUACUGCAUGAAGUGAUUGAUACGAUUGAGAAGGUUAAUGGGG